UACAGAGGGUGCGAGCGUUGUCCGGAAUCACUGGGCGUAAAGGGCGCGUAGGCGGCCUGGCAAGUGGAAGGUGAAAUCCCUCGGCUUAACCGAGGAACUGCCCUCCAAACUGCUUGGCUUGAGUCCGGGAGAGGUGAGUGGAAUUCCCAGUGUAGCGGUGAAAUGCGUAGAUAUUGGGAGGAACACCAGUGGCGAAGGCGGCUCACUGGACCGGAACUGACGCUGAGGCGCGAAAGCGUGGGGAGCAAACGGG
rnacentral:rRNA from 1 species